rnacentral:rRNA from 1 species
CGGUGGCGGAUGGGCAUGCGGCGCAUUAGCUAGACGGCGGGGGGACGGCCCACCGUGGCGACGAUGCGUAGGGGUUCUGAGAGGAAGGCCCCCCACACUGGGACUGAGACACGGCCCAGACUCCUACGGGAGGCAGCAGUGAGGAAUAUUGGUCAAUGGGCGGAAGCCUGAACCAGCCAAGUCGCGUGAGGGAUUAAGGCCCUGCGGGUCGUAAACCUCUUUUGCCGGGGAGCAGUGGUCCGGACGCGUCCGGGCCGGGAGAGUACCCGGAGAAAAAGCAUCGGCUAACUCCGUGCCAGCAGCCGCGGUAAUACGGAGGAUGCGAGCGUUAUCCGGAUUUAUUGGGUUUAAAGGGUGCGUAGGCGGGCAUUUAAGCCGGCGGUCAAAUGUCGGGGCUCAACCCCGGCCUGCCGUCGGAACUGGGUGCCUUGAGUGGGCGAGAAGUAUGCGGAAUGCGUGGUGUAGCGGUGAAAUGCAUAGAUAUCACGCAGAACCCCGAUUGCGAAGGCAGCAUACCGGCGCCCUACUGACGCUGAGGCACGAAAGUGCGGGUAUCGAACAGGAUUAGAUACCCUGGUAGUCCGCACAGUAAACGAUGGAUGCUAUCUGUCCGGGCCGAAUGAGGCCUGG